rnacentral:rRNA from 1 species
GACGAACGCUGGUGGCGUGCCUAAUGCAUGCAAGUCGAGCGGACCAAUAGAAGCUUGCUUCUGUUGGUUAGCGGCGGACGGGUGAGUAACACGUGGGCAACCUGCCUGUAAGACUGGGAUAACUUCGGGAAACCGGAGCUAAUACCGGAUAAUUCAUCCCCUCGCAUGAGGGGAUGCUGAAAGUCGGUUUACGCUGACACUUACAGAUGGGCCCGCGGCGCAUUAGCUAGUUGGUGAGGUAAUGGCUCACCAAGGCGACGAUGCGUAGCCGACCUGGAGGGUGGAUCGGCCACACUGGGACUGAGACACGGCCCAGACUCCUACGGGGGGCAGCAGUAGGGAAUCUUCCACAAUGGACGAAAGUCUGAUGAAGCAACGCCGCGUGAGCGAUGAAGGCCUUCGGGUCGUAAAGCUCUGUUGUUAGGGAAGAACAAGUAUCGGAGUAACUGCCGGUACCUUGACGGUACCUAACCAGAAAGCCACGGCUAACUACGUGCCAGCCGCCGCGGUAA